AGGCAAUAGAUACCCUGGUAGUCCACGCCCUAAACGAUGUCAACUAGUUGUUGGGGAUUCAUUUCCUUAGUAAACGUAGCUAAACGCGUGAAGUUGACCGCCUGGGGAGUACGGUCGCAAGAUUAAAACUCAAAGGAAUUGGCGGGGACCCGCACAAGCGGUGGAUGAUGUGGAUUAAUUCGAUGCAACGCGAAAAACCUUACCUACCCUUGACAUGGUCGGAAUCCUGCUGAGAGGCGGGAGUGCUCGAAAGAGAACCGGCGCACAGGUGCUGCAUGGCUGUCGUCAGCUCGUGUCGUGAGAUGUUGGGUUAAGUCCCGCAACGAGCGCAACCCUUGUCCUUAGUUGCUACGCAAGAGCACUCUAAGGAGACUGCCGGUGACAAACCGGAGGAAGGUGGGGAUGACGUCAAGUCCUCAUGGCCCUUAUGGGUAGGGCUUCACACGUCAUACAAUGGUCGGAACAGAGGGUUGCCAAGCCGCGAGGUGGAGCCAAUCCCAG
rnacentral:rRNA from 1 species